UCCGUAGGCGGGCGUCGAAGUCAGUGGUGAAAUCCCGCAGCUCAACUGUGGAAUUGCCAUUGAUACUGGUCGCCUUGAAUUAGUGUGAAGUGGCUAGAAUAUGUAGUGUAGCGGUGAAAUGCUUAGAUAUUACAUAGAAUACCGAUUGCGAAGGCAGGUCACUAACACUAUAUUGACGCUGAUGGACGAAAGCGUGGGGAGCGAACAGGAUUAGAUACCCUGGUAGUCC
rnacentral:rRNA from 1 species